ACGCUCCUUCCGAUCUUGUCGUUCUCUGAUCCUGUAACUAACACACAUCUACACACAUUCACAACCACCUUCAC